rnacentral:tRNA from 1 species
UAGUUUAUAUCUCAAUGGUAGAGAAUUCAAUUGAUAAUUGAUUAAUAUGAGUUCAAAUCUCAUUAAACUAA